AACAUGGGUGGUUAUAAUACUGGGAUACAUUGAAUAUAAAAAUUUUUUAUUAGCACGAAACAUUCUGAAAGACUCGAAACUCAGGUAAAUCAAACAUUUGAUGUGCCAGCUAAGAAUUAAUGCAAGAUAAUCAGGACCAGCAAGCAAACACGGGUUUCAGUUAAUAGACAGCUCUCAAAGUUUAUCCAACAUGAGGCAUUUUAUUCAACAUAAAUUUAUCUUUGAUAGUCUAGAAAAGGAAGUAAAUAGAAAGAAAAAGGGCUCUCUCUGGCAACGUAGCCUCCAUUAGAAGAAGACUAGAAUCAACUGCAAGAAAGAAGAAAUAACAAAUUAGAUUUUAGUGACUUCACAAGCAAAUAUGAGUACACAAAUGACUUCAACAACAAAACCCAUGCGAACGGAUAGAACUGACUUCAAUGCCACCUAGCAACUCUACUAGUAUCUUAUACAGGAACUUAAAUGAGGCGAAUGCAAUUUCUUUCACAAAUUAGGAAGAGAGUAGAAUAAUAAUUGGUGAUGAUACAAAGCCCCAUAAUAUCCACUAGGAAUUAUUCCCCUCCCAAUCUACUGUUAACAGAACAAUUCUUCUAUGUCCAAAAUAUUGAAAAGAAGAAUAUUCUUUAAUGUAUCCAGAUUGGUUCAGACCUUAACAAGAGCAACAGUAUCCCUUAAUAAGGUCAUUUUAGCAAACAUAAAAUCAUAAUUUCCAAUUACUGAAAGAUGUCUGUAAGUACCAUCACUAAAUAACUCUUCAUGCCUAUUCCCUGAGAAAACAAUCCAAGGAGAAAGAAAUGGUACAAGCAACACUGCAGUACACAUCAAAUAUCAGAUGAGGUUCAAACAAACAUUAGUGUAACAGUUUGCACAGCGUGUACAAGAAGGGAGAAGAGGUAGCAUGACAUAUACAGUCCACCCCAUCUCUUAGAGUGGUUUAAGCCCUCAAAAAUUUGAAUGAUAAUAUUAACAGCUACUAAAUCAAUUCAUCAAUUGUAUUACCCAUUCAGUCAUAUUCCUGAAUGCAUGGUACCUCCUUUUUUUCUGCUACUCAGACCACUACCCUCCUUCAAUACUUAACAUCAGUUCUAUAGCCUCCUCUCUAUUAUCCAAACAUAUCCCCCAACUUUCUACAACUUCCUUCAAAACUUUCAUUUCUAGAUACCAGAAUAUCAUUACUUUUCCUAUUUAUUCUUUUCUACUAUCCUGAAGGAAUUAAGUCACAGUACACUAAAUAAUCCUACACCUCAAACCCAGGAUCGCAUUCUAGUGUUUGUCUCUGUUUUCUUGUCAUACAGUGACAAGCUCACAAACCUAACAAGUCACAAGCCUUUUCAAUAGAAGCACAUUUUUAAUACAUUUUCUCUCUCUUCAUGUACUAAUACCCUAUUAAAACACAACUCUACUCUAAGCACCAUAAACAUUUCAUCUUCUGUUCCUCCCACCCAUCGAACACAAAACCCUGUUUACUAGAAAUGAUAUAAACAAAGGCUUAAUCCCAGAAUACGUCUAGCAAAUUAGGGCUACUACAGAAUCUAAGAAGCCCAUAAAGCAACGUACGUUGACCAUUCAAUUAACGAAGAUACUAAAAACAAAAAAAAGUACUAUGAUUUAACGAAGCUGCAAAGCAAGUCAAUCGUAAUAGAACACUCGUCGAUUCAUAAUCCAACAUUCAAUGUUCUAGAUCUACAAAAUCAAAUCUCAACAUAGUAAUACACUUACUUCUUGUGCCUCAUCGCAAAUUUAGAGUUCUUCCUAUCCUCCUCUGUAAAAUCAGCCAUUACGUAGAUCCGAAUCAGAUUCCAUUAAUAAAAUAGAGAGUUAAACAUAAUAUGUAUAAAUUAAUGGUAAUACAGUAGGCGCUGACCAGUGAAACCGAGGGAAAGCUUGGUGAUGAUAGCGCCGGUGACGGCGAAGCCGACGAGGAAUGGCCAGUUACGGCUCCAUUCACGGCGGAAGAAGACCGGCCACGGAUCGAAUUGCCUCAUUUUCUCCGAGUUAGGUUUUUUUUAGUGCUCUGUGCUUGAGAGUAUUGUGAUUGUUAUUGGAAAAUGGGUCUGCUGUAUAAGUUGCCUAUAGGGAGGUGUACUUAUUGCAUGGGAGAGAGUGUUGUGAUUGUUAAUGGAAAAUGGGUCUGCCGUAUAGAUUGCCUAUAGGGAAGUGUACUUAUUAGAUGGGCCAAAGGCCGAAGCUAAGUAUGGACCAAUGAUGGAUGGGCUACUGGACAUGAUACGGGAGAAAUUAAAAAGGGAUUU
rnacentral:lncRNA from 1 species